rnacentral:rRNA from 1 species
UACAGAGGUCUCAAGCGUUGUUCGGAUUCAUUGGGCGUAAAGGGUGUGUAGGUGGCGCCGUAAGUCGGGUGUGAAAUUUCGGAGCUUAACUCCAGAACUGCCUUUGAUACUGAGGAUCUUGAGUUCGGGAGAGGUGAGUGGAACUGCGAGUGUAGAGGUGAAAUUCGUAGAUAUUCGCAAGAACACCAGUGGCGAAGGCGGCUCACUGGCCCGAUACUGACGCUGAUGCACGAAAGCGUGGGGAGCAAACAGG